rnacentral:rRNA from 1 species
UACGAAGGGGGCUAGCGUUGCUCGGAAUCACUGGGCGUAAAGGGCGCGUAGGCGGGGCUUUAAGUCAGGGGUGAAAUCCUGGAGCUCAACUCCAGAACUGCCUUUGAUACUGAAGAUCUUGAGUUCGGGAGAGGUGAGUGGAACUGCGAGUGUAGAGGUGAAAUUCGUAGAUAUUCGCAAGAACACCAGUGGCGAAGGCGGCUCACUGGCCCGAUACUGACGCUGAGGCACGAAAGCGUGGGGAGCAAACAGG